UACAGAGGGUGCAAGCGUUAAUCGGAAUUACUGGGCGUAAAGCGCACGUAGGCGGUUUUUUAAGUCAGAUGUGAAAGCCCCGGGCUCAACCUGGGAAUUGCAUUUGAAACUGGGAAACUAGAGUAUGUGAGAGGGGGGUAGAAUUCCAAGUGUAGCGGUGAAAUGCGUAGAGAUUUGGAGGAAUACCAGUGGCGAAGGCGGCCCCCUGGCACAAUACUGACGCUGAGGUGCGAAAGCGUGGGGAGCAAACAGG
rnacentral:rRNA from 1 species